CUUGGUUGUAAUCGCACGCGCAGGGAACUCCUUACUCGCCUUGACGAUCAGAGGAGUUGCUUGUAAGGCUUUUUACGCGCAGCUGUAUUUCGGAAAGUUGUAGUUUCAACGAUUUUAUUGAAAAUAUCAUGGCGAAUAAUUCAUGUAAAGCGAAGUCCAACUCUAAAGUGGAAAAGUGAAAGUGAGACAGAUUUUUUGUUUGAGGAAUCUUGGAGUGUUAUGAUUCAAACGAACUGUUUCUGCAAGGACAGGACGUACUUCUGGACGGCCUUCCUCUCCUCUGAGGACCCAGUGAGGGUGGAGCUCAGUCAGAGAGCUGUUGAGGGACUGGUUAGGAAGAACACUUCUACAGCCAGAGAGGGGCAGUCAAGAAAUGGAACAGCAAGGCCACAGAACAUUACAUAAGCAUAGCUGUGGGAGACCACCUCAAGCCCCUGGUAGAGCCGGGGGUGGUGUUUUACCACUCCACCACGCCUUCAGCAGGCUUGAGAAGUUGAAUUGAUCUGUUUGAUCCAUUUGUUUGUUUCAGUUUUCAGUAGUUGAAUCCUGUGAUGUAUUGUUCAUUUCAACAUUUUUCAUUUUCAACAAAUGCACUGGGUUGGUUGAAAAGUGAUACUAAACUUACAUAUCAUGCACUAUAUUGACAUAGAUAGAUAGAUAGAUAGAUACAUAGAUAGAUACAUAGAUAGAUACAUAGAUAGAUAUACUAAAUUGAUACUGUUUUUCAUACUAAGAUGGACCAUGCACUAUGUUGACAAGGUAGAAGAUAGCAUGAAAAACAGUAUAAAUUCAGUCUGAGAUGGACCAAGAUAUGCCUUUGCACAUAUUUGUUCAUUGGUUUAGUAAGAGUCUGUUGAUUGGUUCAUUUGUUUUGCAAUAUGAUCAAAUCAAGCUUUAUUUAUAUAGUACAUUUCAGACAUGACUUCACAGGAAAAAAACAAAUAAAAAUAAACUGAAAUAUUUAGUACACAACAAACAGAAACUUAACUGAAAGCCUGAGCAUUUUAAGGAAAUGUCUUUGAUUAAAAUAUUAACAAUUGGAUGCAACAUCCAACACAAAAUAUAAGCUUGUUUUACUCCAAUAUUUGUUCUAACGUUCUCCAUCAAGAAACCCAAAAAACUAAAGUCAAAUUAAACGUUACAUGAAUUGUAAAUAUGAAAUAUCAAAAUCAAAUAUACACCCCUUUGUUAAUAUGUAUUGGCAAUAAUUAACUUAAUGAAUGGUGAGGCAUGGAAUAAUAAAACAUGUAUCUUUGUCAGGCGGAAUGUUUGAAAUAUGAGGUAAUUUGAUUCAUACUUCAGUCGUGGAAUAAAGACAAUUAGCAUUUGAAUGGUGUAAAGAAAUACUGGAGUGAUGUAUGAAUGUUAAUAAAAUGUAUUAUACUGCAUCCAUGUGAAUCGGCGACAAGUAUGUUGAAAUUAAUUUAUCAAGUCAUUGAAAAAAGACCUGAAAAUAUUUUAUUUUAUAAACAAAACACGACAACAUCAUACAAACAACAUCAUACCUGCUCUUUUUUUGUUAAGUCACUUUUUGUUAAUUUACAUAAAUAGUAAUAGAUGUAAACAGAUGGCUACAUUUUGAAGUGUUGCAUUUUGAUUCAAGAGGGUCACCAACGUGGUAAGUGUAACACAACUCUUUUUUUGUUAAAUCACAUAAAUAAUACUCUUUCAAUUCAGAGCCUGGAUUUGGCUAAAAUUCAUAUCAUGCUAAAAUCAAAUGAACAGGGGGCAAACAUUUAGGGUGCUACAUUGUGAAAUUCAUUCAAAUACUCAGACUACAAUGUUAAAACAUUCUACAUUGUGACAAUAUUUAAUUGAUAUUGUGAAACAACUCCUUCAUGUAUGUAUUUUCUGAUGUUUGAUUAGAUAUAUUUUAUCAGAGUAUCUCUUGUCACAUUGAUCAUAGCCAUAAGGUUUCUCUCAUGUGUGUGUCCGCUGGUGUGAUAUCAGGCUGUUUGACCGAGUAAAACUCUUCCCACAUUGAU